GGGAAGCAGGAGGGACCACCCUCCAAGGCUAAAUACUACCUAGUGACCGAUAGCGUAUAGUACCGUGAGGGAAAGGUGAAAAGAACCCCGGGAGGGGAGGGAAAUAGAACCUGAAACCCUGCACUUACAAGCUGUGGAAGCACAUUUCUUGUGUGACCGCGUACUUUUUGUAGAACGGGCCAACGAGUUACGUUAAGUAGCAAGGUUAAGCACUUAAGGUGUGGAGCCGUAGCGAAAGCGAGUUUUAACUGAGCGUUCAGUUACUUGACGUAGACCCGAAACCGGGCGA
rnacentral:rRNA from 1 species